rnacentral:rRNA from 1 species
UACGUAGGGGGCAAGCGUUAUCCGGAUUUACUGGGUGUAAAGGGAGCGCAGGCGGUCUGGCAAGUCAGAAGUGAAAUCCCAAGGCUUAACCAUGGGACUGCUUUUGAAACUGUCAGACUGGAUUGCAGGAGAGGUAAGCGGAAUUCCUGGUGUAGCGGUGAAAUGCGUAGAUAUCAGGAGGAACACCGGAGGCGAAGGCGGCUUACUGGACUGCAAAUGACGCUGAGGCUCGAAGGCGUGGGGAGCAAAC